GUCUCAGUAGCAUAGUGGUCAGUGUACAGCUCUGAAAAGGUUGAGACGCGGGUUCGAAUCCCGCCUGAGAUG
rnacentral:tRNA from 1 species